UACGUACUGCGCGAACGUUAUUCGGAAUCACUGGGCUUACAGGGUGCGUAGGCGGCUUUUCAGGUCUGAUGUGAAAUCCCCCGGCUCAACCGGGGAAUGGCAUUGGAAACCGAAAGGCUCGAGGUAGCUAGAGGCAUGCGGAACUUCCGGUGGAGCGGUGAAAUGUGUUGAGAUCGGAAGGAACACCAGAGGCGAAAGCGGCAUGCUGGGGCUAUUCUGACGCUGAGGCACGAAAGCCAGGGGAGCGAACGGG
rnacentral:rRNA from 1 species